rnacentral:rRNA from 1 species
AUACGGAGGGUGCAAACGUUGUUCGGAAUCACUGGGCGUAAAGCGCGCGCAGGCGGCUAUUUAAGUUGGAUGUGAAAGCCUACGGCUCAACCGUAGAACUGCAUCCAAAACUAUUUAGCUAGAGUGUGGGAGAGGAAGAUGGAAUUAGUUGUGUAGGGGUAAAAUCCGUAGAGAUAACUAGGAAUACCAAAAGCGAAGGCAAUCUUCUGGAACACUACUGACGCUGAGGUGCGAAAGCGUGGGGAGCAAACAGGAUUAGAUACCCUAGUAGUCC